CCUCCGAUAGGUGUUGGAAGUUCUGAAACAGUGUCGAAAGUUCCGACAAAGAUAUUUUGAGUUCUGUUUUGCUUCAAGCUUUUCAGUUUUGCUUCCGGUUACUUCUCGAGGGUCCCGCUGUGUCUUUUGGUCAUAACCAUAGACACCUAGCCACCUUGUUGGCUCGUAGAUCUCUCUUCUUCUGCUUGCUUGGAUUUGGGGUUUGAAUUUGGGACAGAGGUCUAAGUUUUCGUAAGAAAUAUUUGAGGCUCCUAUUCACCCCCCUCUAGUCGCCUUUUCGGUCCUCCAAUUUUGUACCUUCAGAAUCAAAAUUUAUGUUUUUGUACUCUAAAUAGGGCUGUGCAUUCAGACAUAGAGAUAUAGCACUUGACACUUUGACAGCCUCUUUUCAAGGAACACUACGGUCGGCACACGGCUGAACUGCACGUUUCCAUUAAUUGAAUAUAGCAGAUGAGCUUGUAUCUCAGUGGUAAUGCAUUCAGUAGAGGUGCCACCCACCCAGGGCUUGAACUUCAGGUGUUGCACAAUAAAAAUCCCCCUCGCUAGCACAGCCAGUGUUCGGGGUUUUUUUCCACAGCCAGGAGCCGGUGGGAAGCAUCUCCCUAUCGCAUUUUUUUUAUUAAUUGAAUAUAAACAUCAAGAGGUUAAUUAUGCGCUCCUAACCGACCCAAGAGGUUAUGUGCAAAAAUGUCAUGAAAAAAAUGUAAGACAGAACCGGAAUAUAUUGAAUUAGUUCUAAAUAGCUGGACCAAGUCCACAGAUCCUCGUAAUGUUCACCAUAAAAAAAACAAUUCGAAGCCCAUCCCUCGUUUAGUUUGGCACAUACACUCCAUCCUCGACGAGUGGUAGUAUCUCAUUUCAUCUCCUCCCAUGGCGUCUGCUUUGAUCCUCUCUUUGCUUCUACUCCUAUGCCGCAGCUACGGUGGUAUUGCUCAUGCAGAUGCAGUUGCAGGUCAUAAGGGACGUAAAAGAAAUGAACUGGAUUUCCGUGAGGAGAAU
rnacentral:lncRNA from 1 species